CGAAAGCCUGACAGAGCAAUACCGCGUGAGGGAUGAAGGCUCGUGGGUCGUAAACCUCUUUUUUCAAGGAGGAAGUUCUGACGUGUACUUGAAGAAUAAGCAUCGGCUAACUCCGUGCCAGCAGCCGCGGUAAGACGGAGGAUGCAAGUGUUAUCCGGAAUCACUGGGCGUAAAGCGUCUGUAGGUGGUUUAGUAAGUCUGUUGUUAAAUCUUGAGGCUCAACUUCAAAAUCGCAAUCGAAACUACUAGACUUGAGUAUGGUAAAGGUAAAAGGAAUUUCCAGUGGAGCGGUGAAAUGCGUAGAUAUUGGAAAGAAC
rnacentral:rRNA from 1 species